ACCAUUCUAUGAGUCUAUGAUCCUUGGGAAAAGAUGGAAGAGGAGGAAUGAAAAGCUUGAGCUCCCUCUGCUGAAAAACUCGGGCAGUUUAGCAGGGAAAAGGAAAAGCAAGGGAGAGGAUUCCCGACAGGAAGUUGGACAUGAGCAAGAGUAGGUCUGGAAAAUGCCUUUUUUACUCUAUUUGCAUUUUAUGUCUCUUCAAAAACUACAUACUAACAGAGAAGGCGAGUUUUGAAUCAAAUCUUUACAGCAAGUGAAAAGGUCCAGCCCCGAUGGGUGCUUUGCUUGGCAGCAGCGUGUGUAACGGGAGCUAUCGUGGUCUGGGCAGCAGUGUCAGGGCAUCACAGCGACCUUGUCUUGCAAGAGAAAUGCAAAGCAGCUAUCAACUGAGACAGAAUGUAGUCGAACACAGCAGCAGUUUCCAGUCUCCAGGAAAAUAACUGUUUAGGGAUGUCUGUGGAGGUUCUUGAGACUUUGGGUUAUGAAACAAUUAAGGAUUGGUGAGUUCCAGUGUUGGUUUUGUUAUCUGGGCUCUUGAGGAGUGCAAAAACAUAGAUACUAAGAGCUCGAGAGUAUGUGUGUGUAACAUGGCUGGUAGUGGGGAGUCAUGGAGCCUGGUCUCCCAGCAAAGGAAACUCACUUGGAGCCAGUUUGUGCAUCCAGAUAUGGGGGUUUGGAGGUCUCAGCAAGAAUCCCAGCACAGCAAGCAGACCUGCUGACCCCAGAGUUGUCCAAGAGAAGUGUAGAAGAUGCUGAGCUGCAGGAUGAGCCGGAGCAGUGGGGUUGCCAGUGGUUGAGUAAAGCUGUUUUUUGCUGGAGCAGCAAGCACUUCGAUUUCUGACAGUGUAUGUGUAGGAUGCACACAGACAAGUAGUUUUGAACGGUGACACAGAGGAAGCCCUGGGGGUGCCUCUGCAUUGCUCUGGGCUUUGUGAUCUUCCUCUGGUGGAAUAGCUUUGAAGCCUGACCCUGCUGGCUGCAGAGUGCAUCACCUCAGCAUUGCACCCUGUGAAGUGUUUGUGGUUCUAACACAGGGAGGUCUCUCUCAUUUUCAGUAGUAUUAGAGGAACAUCAUUUUCAGUAGUAUUAGAGGAACAUGUUGUAAAGAUGAGCAUCACCCAGCGAGGAGUCACAUCCCUGCAAUGCCCUGGAGCGCAGAACAAGUGCCCACAGGGACAUUGCAGCUGCUGGAGUAGUGGGAGAAGAUCUGGGUGGUGUUCUGCCUCCAGGCCAGGUUCAAGGCCAUGUUCAGCCUUUGUAAUUGAGGGCUACAUGUAAGGCAACGUACGAGACCUUGAUGGUGGAAGCUCUGCUCAAAAGGAGGACAGCAAAAGGAGCUCAAAAGCUCAAGAGCAGUGCAAGGCCCUACGUUAGGGCUGAUAAAUGCAGUGGCAAGGCAUUUAUCAUGAGAGUGCCAUGAGAGGCUUUAGUUCAGCACAGAAAAUGGGAGAAAUGGCAGGGUAGGACCACUUGUGUGUGAGCCUGGAGAGGUGUGGAAUGAGGGCUUCCAGGUUUUGCAAAUGAUGUGAAGAACGAUGGUUGUCAAGUCAAGAGGGGGAGGGAGGAGCUCCAAAAGCAGCAAACCCCAGUAAUUCCUUUGUGUUCCAGCAAAGCAUUUGGGCUUCCUGAGUUAAAUCUGAUCCUUGGGCGAUGGAAAUGGGAAAGGACUAAAAUUCCGCUUCCGCUCAGAUCUGUGCCUGGGUUUUGGGCUAAAACCCUCCACAGACCCUUGCUGAUAAGACAGUCUUUUUCCACUGUAGGUGUCCAAUCUCCCCAUGAAGCGUUGCACAGGGUGGACUGGGCAGCUCCAGGUGGCUGCAGAGCCCAAACCAUCGACUCCUGCAUCUCCUGCCCAUCUCCCCUUGCUGCAGUGGCAGCAUCCCCCUGGCUCUCCAGGCAGAUGCGCUCCUGGAGCCACUGGCCACGUGUCCCAUCCACUGCUGUGGAAGCGACCCAGGAGCGCCUGGGCUCGGAGCAUGGCCACCACCGUCUCGCUGGAUGCUUUCAGCAGGACCUCGGCGGUGAGGCCAGUCUCAACCAGUGUCUUGAGUGAUGGUGCAAGUGGCGUGGGGAGAGCCCCUUCGCUCAGGACUCAGGAUGCAAAAGAGAAGGAGAAGGGUGAGAAGGAGGAAAUGGGUCGCCUCUCUGGUUUGGAAACAGAAUCAAAGCAGAAAGAUGCAGCAAUAAGAGAUCUGCAGGAGGAGAUCGCAGCGAUGGCAAAGACCUUGGCUCAGGUGGCGGCGAGGAAUGAGGUGGAGCUGACCCAGAAGCUGCUCGCCUUUGACCAAGAGCUGGAAGCCAAAGCGGAGCUGAUCAGAGCCUUGAAGGAACAGAUCCACAACCUGGAGAAGGGCUCGAGCCAGGUUUUCAGCCAUUCCCUUUAUGAAAGAGACCUGGAGAUUGGGAGGCUGCGGAAAGAAAGCGAGAAGUUGAAGCGGGACCACGCUUUGGCUACAGGUCUAGUGACCAGCCUGCAGAGGGAGAUUGCUGGGAAGGAGCAGGAAAUCCAGCAACUCCAGCAAGAGGUUGAGAAAGUGAAGAAGGGGAACAGAGCAAAGGACAAUCAGCUGGCAGUGCUUUCAGCCAAGGUUGACAGCACUGCCUCACAUAGGGGUUGACGUGGGAAAGCGUGCUCUAGAAUCCGAGAGGAAAUGAAGCAGGAACUUGGAGAGCGGGAAGUAACGGCAUGCCGGAAUCGCAUCAAGGAGCUGGAACACAACCUGGAGAGACUGCAGGGGGAAGUCCAGAAGUAUUGCAUUGAGCAGGAGAGCAUUCGAAGCCAGCUGGCUGAGAAAGCCAAGGCUGAGGAGGAGCUGAGGGAAGCUGGAGCCAGACAAGCUCUGCAGCUGCAGGAGAUGGGGCGCAGGGAGCGCCUGCUGCGAGCCGACCUGGCCCGGGCCAAGGAGCAGCUGGAGUCCUUCAAGACCCAAGUGAUGCGAGCCUGUUCCCCAGCAGCAGCAGGCAGCCCAGGGAAAGCCAACACGGAGCAGCAGGUGAUAGAGAAGGUCAGGCAGAUCUGUGAUGAGAGCCAACACAGUCACGAGAGAGAGAAGUGUCUGCAGGAGGAAAUAAGCUCCAGGCUUGCAAAGGAAAAGGAAGUGUCUGCAAAUGCUGAGGUGUUCAACAAGUCCCUGCAGGAGCUCCAGGCUUGCCUGAACAGCUCCUGCAGCAGUGCCAGCCUGCGAGGGGAGCUGGGGAAGCUGGAAGCAGUGCGCCUGGAUCCUUCCAUCUCCACUAUUGGGAUGGCAGCAGUGGAAAUGGCACGUGUGCUCCUGUCCUGGCUGGAGGGAGCAGAGCAGCUCCUGGCUGGUGUGGGGAUGGACCUGCACAAAGGGCUGUUGGCUGCUCUUGGGACAUUGGUGGAAACCAGUCAGGAAACCGCACGGAGGAAUCAGACGUUACAGGCACAAUUAGAGACAGCCCAGGAGUCGCAGGCAGCUUUGCUGCAGGAGCACACGAAGGAGCUGGAAGAGAAACACGAGCAAGACCUGCAGAUAAAAAUCAAGCACGUUCUGCUGGAGAAGGACAAGGAGAGCAAAGAGCUCCUGGAGAGCGCUGUUGCCGCGGAGAAGAGCAAGUGCAGGCAAUCCCUGGAGGAAGAACAGAAGAAGAUCCAAGACCUGGAGAGCCACCUGAGGAGCAUGGCUGAGGCUAUAGAAAGGAAGUCAAAGGAACAGGAGGUUGCUGACUGCAAGCUGCAAGAAGCUGUGCAGAAGCUGGAGGAAACCACAGUGCGAGAGAUGCUGUUACAGCAGCGGGUGCUGGCACAGGACGAGCAGCUAAGGACCCUUCAGGAGGAGAAUGAGUUACAGAGGCAGAAACUGCAGGAAGAAAUAGAGGGAUAUAAAGAGCAGAGCAAGCAGCACGCACUGACAGUUGUGGCUUUAGAGGAGAGGUUGCUGGAGGCCAAGGAGCAGCAGAAGACACUGGAGGAGGAACACACAGCACUUGUGAAUAAAAUGAAAGGAUUUGGGGGUGACACUUGCCAGGCACCCUCGGGGGCUUGGCUGGAGGUUUGUCCUGCUGCAGAGUCACACGGUUGUCUGCGGAAGCUCAGGGAGGAGCUGGUCAUGGCACAAAACACGCUGCUGUCCAAGGAGGCUGCCAUCUCUGUGCUAACCAAAGAGCUUGUGGAAACCAGAGCCAGGCUGACAGACAUGAGAGGGGAGCUGAGUGAGGAGCGGAAGGUGGAACUGGAGCAGAACCUGAGCCGGCUGAAACGCCAAGAGCAGGAACUGAACCUGCUCCGAGAGAAGCUCUCCCGGAUGUCCAGCCUGGUGGAGAAGAAGGAUCAAGCCCUGAAAGCAGCCACUGAGGAGUUAAGGCAAGCCCAAGCCCACUGCCAGGAGCUGAAGGAUGCCCAAGAAUUGGCAGAGAAGCCGGAGGCUACUCCAGGAACGCCAGCACAGGCGGGAGAAGCUUCUGAGCAGGAGCCGGCGCUGGACCUGGCCAACCUCGGCAUGAGAUGCCGAGGCCUCAGGCAUGAGGAGACGAUUCAGCGCCAGAGAGAAGGCUUGGCCGAGCUCCGGGAGAGAGUGAAGGUGCUGGAGAAGAGGCAGUCCUCAGCUACCAUGAUGAAGAGUUCAGAGCCAGUGGUGGUCCUCACAAGAGACUUAGCAGAGGAAAUAGUCCAGAGAACAGGUCAUGAGAAGGAACCCGCACCCGUGUCAGGACCAAAUCUGCAGGCCAGCAAGGUUCCUGGCUGUGUUGCUAAUGGGGGCUCACACGGGGCAGCGAGCCGGGAGAUGGGCGACAUGACAGACUUUGGCGAGAAGAUGUACCUGGAUGCAAUCGGUGCCCUGGGAAGCCUGAUGAAGGUGAAGGAGCUGUCGGGAUUGCAGUCUUUGAAGCACCUUCCUCCAGAGGAGAGGGGAAAAGCAGAGCUGCAGAGACGGAAGGACCUGGAGCUGCUCUGUCAUAAGAUCAGGAACCUCAAGAGUCGCCUGGAAAGAAAUGAGGAAAAGCUGAAAGAAUACGAGGGCAGAGUGGAGCAGCUGAGGCUGAACCAGGCGUCCCUGCAGAGGUGCCAGGAGGAGGUGUCCAAGCUAGAAGAGGAAGCCUAUAGGGAGGCAGAAGAGAAGGCUCUGCUGCAGGAGGCUCUGGAGAGGACACAGCUCCAGCUGAACCAGGAGAAGAGGCAGCAGCGAGCAGCCAAGCUACACAAAGGGAAAACACGGGAGCAGCCUGGAGCCAAGAAGCCUUUCUGCUCAGGCAAGCUGAAGGCCAAAGAGCACACAGCAGAAGCUGUCAAGAUGGGAAGUGCGUAGGAGAGGCACCACAUGGGCCUUUGGUACGAUGCAGGGAAAGACGGUUUCAUUGACCUGAUGGAGCUGAAGCUGAUGAUGGAGAAACUGGGGGCUCCACAGACGCACCUGGGCUUGAAGAACAUGAUCAAGGAGGUGGAUGAAGACCUGGACAGCAAGCUCAGCUUUCGGGAGUUCCUGCUGAUCUUCCGCAAGGCAGCAGCGGGAGAGCUGCAGGAGGAUAGUGGGCUGCACGCCCUGGCCCGGCUCUCCGAGAUCGACGUCUCCACAGAGGGAGUGAAGGGUGCCAAGAACUUCUUUGAGGCCAAGGUACAAGCCAUCCACGAUGCUAGCCGCUUCGAGGAGGAGAUCAAGGCAGAGCAGGAGGAGAAGAAGAAGCAGGCGGAGGAGCUGAAGCAGAGGAAAGCAGCGUUCAAGGAGCUCCAAUCCACCUUCAAGCAGUGACGGGGCGCCGACACGGGGCCGGGCAGGACUGGUGUGUGGUGCCUGGAGCCGGGAAUGCCGCAUGUGCCACGUAUCGACUGUAACGGGAGCGAUGCCCGAGCUGUGUGCCUGUGACUGCCCAAAGGCCGGGCUCGGCACAGCGCCCGGCUCUCCCUUCCCCUCGCUGUGCUGCCUGUAGGUGUUGUUCAUACCCCUCUAUUGUCCCCUUGCCGAGCUGCCCCUGCCCCGAGGGGCGGCAGCACCGUGUCCCCUGCCAGGGGCUGCUGCCGCCGCGGCGGCCGUGCUGGCCCCACGCUGUUGUGUUGUGCAUGCACCGUGCAGGACACGGGGACUCACCCGGGGGAGUGUCACGGUGACUUGGUGCCUGUUGCCAUUGCUGACGGAGGGGUCCGUGUGUGCAGUGCUGGGGGGUGGGAGCCCCCCCACUGGUGUGCAGCCCCCCGGGGGCUGUGUCUCUGUGUUCUAAAGCUGUGUGCAAAGGCAGCUGUUGGCUCUUGAGGCUGUUCUGUGUUUUCAUGUUGUAUUUGGCCCAGGAGGGCGAGUGUUGUAGCCACACGUGGUCGGGUGAGGCUCCCGUGUUGGCUGUACUGACAUGUCUGUCCCGCGGUGUCCCCCCGAGCGGCGGUACUGGGAGGGGGGGUGUGUUCUGUGUCUUUUGGGUUUUUAUUUUAAUCCCAAAUAAAUAUUAUAUUUCUUAA